rnacentral:lncRNA from 1 species
GAGAAUGGACGGAUCCAUGGAUACUAUUCACUAUAAGUCAUUCUCAGAUUUACCUUUUAUGGAUUAAGGCCUCCCAGUUUAAGUCUUUUGAAUGAAUGAAAGUACUUCCUUUGACUUCUCU